rnacentral:rRNA from 1 species
GACGAACGCUGGCGGCGUGCCUAAUACAUGCAAGUCGAGCGGACUUUCAAGAAGCUUGCUUUUUGAAAGUUAGCGGCGGACGGGUGAGUAACACGUGGGCAACCUGCCUGCAAGACGGGGAUAACUCCGGGAAACCGGGGCUAAUACCGGAUAAUAUCUUCCUUCGCAUGAAGGAAGGUUGAAAGGCGGCGCAAGCUGCCGCUUGCAGAUGGGCCCGCGGCGCAUUAGCUAGUUGGUGAGGUAACGGCUCACCAAGGCGAGGAUGCGUAGCCGACCUGAGGGGGUGAUCGGCCAGACUGGGACUGAGACACGGCCCAGACUCCUACGGGAGGCAGCAGUAGGGAAUCUUCCGCAAUGGACGAAAGUCUGACGGAGCAACGCCGCGUGAGCGAAGAAGGUCUUCGGAUCGUAAAGCUCUGUUGUCAGGGAAGAACAAGUACCGUUCGAACAGGGCGGUACCUUGACGGUACCUGACCAGAAAGCCACGGCUAACUACGUG